GACGGAGGAUGCAAGCGUUAUCCGGAAUUAUUGGGCGUAAAGCGUCCGCAGGUGGCAGUUCAAGUCUGCUGUCAAAGACCGAGGCUUAACUUCGGAAAGGCAGUGGAAACUGAACAGCUAGAGUAUGGUAGGGGCAGAGGGAAUUCCUGGUGUAGCGGUGAAAUGCGUAGAGAUCAGGAAGAACAUCGGUGGCGAAGGCGCUCUGCUGGACCAUAACUGACACUCAGGGACGAAAGCUAGGGGAGCGAAUGGG
rnacentral:rRNA from 1 species